UACAGAACGAACGCUGGCGGCAGGCUUAACACAUGCAAGUGAACGGGAUUGAUGGUAGCUUGCUAUCAUUAAUGAGAGUAGCGCACUGGUGAGUAACACGUGGGAACAUACCUUUUGGUGGGGGACAACAGAUGGAAACGUCUGCUAAUACCGCAUAAGCCCUGAGGGGGAAAGAUUUAUUGCCGAAAGAUUGGCCCGCGGAAGAUUAGGUAGUAGGUGGGGUAACGGCCUACCUAGCCGACGAUCUAUAGCUGGUCUGAGAGGACGAUCAGCCACAUUGGAACUGAGACACGGUCCAGACUCCUACGGGAGGCAGCAGUGAGGAAUAUUGGGCAAUGGAGGGAACUCUGACCCAGCCAUGCCGCGUGAGUGAAGAAGGUUUUCGGAUUGUAAAGCUCUUUCAGAUGAGAAGAUAAUGACGGUAUCAUCAGAAGAAGCACCGGCUAACUUCGUGCCAGCCGCCGC
rnacentral:rRNA from 1 species